GUGGGGAAUAUUGGACAAUGGGCGCAAGCCUGAUCCAGCCAUGCCGCGUGAGUGAUGAAGGCCCUAGGGUUGUAAAGCUCUUUCGCACGUGACGAUAAUGACGGUAGCGUGAGAAGAAGCCCCGGCUAACUUCGUGCCAGCAGCCGCGGUAAUACGAAGGGGGCUAGCGUUGUUCGGAAUCACUGGGCGUAAAGCGCACGUAGGCGGACCGGAAAGUCAGAGGUGAAAUCCCAGGGCUCAACCUUGGAACUGCCUUUGAAACUCCUGGUCUUGAGGUCGAGAGAGGUGAGUGGAAUUCCGAGUGUAGAGGUGAAAUUCGUAGAUAUUCGGAGGAACACCAGUGGCGAAGGCGGCUCACUGGCUCGAUACUGACGCUGAGGUGCGAAAGCGUGGGGAGCAAACAGGAUUAGAUACCCCAGUAGUCC
rnacentral:rRNA from 1 species